CACAACGGGUGGAGCUUGCGGUUUAAUUGGAUUCAACGCCGGAAAUCUUACCGGGACCGACAGCAAUAUGAAGGCCAGGCUGAAGACUUUGCCGGAUUAGCUGAGAGGUGGUGCAUGGCCGUCGUCAGUUCGUACUGUGAAGCAUCCUGUUAAGUCAGGCAACGAGCGAGACCCACGCCCACAGUUGCCAGCGUACUCUCCGGAGUGACGGGUACACUGUGGGGACCGCCGCUGCUAAAGCGGAGGAAGGAAUGGGCAACGGUAGGUCAGUAUGCCCCGAAUAUCCCGGGCUACACGCGAGCUACAAUGGUUGGUACAAUGGGUAUCUACCCCGAAAGGGGAUGGAAAUCUCCUAAAGCCAAUCUUAGUCCGGAUUGAGGGCUGCAACUCGCCCUCAUGAAGCUGGAAUCCGUAGUAAUCGCGUUUCAACAGAACGCGGUGAAUACGUCCCUGCUCC
rnacentral:rRNA from 1 species